rnacentral:rRNA from 1 species
CUGCUAUCGGAUUGAUACUAAGCCAUGCGAGUCAUUGUAGCAAUACAAGGCAUACGGCUCAGUAACGCGUAGUCAACCUAACCUAUGGACGGGAAUAACCUCGGGAAACUGAGAAUAAUGCCCGAUAGAACAUUAUGCCUGGAAUGGUUUAUGUUCCAAAUGAUUUAUCGCCGUAGGAUGGGACUGCGGCCUAUCAGUUUGUUGGUGAGGUAAUGGCCCACCAAGACUAUUACAGGUACGGGCUCUGAGAGGAGUAGCCCGGAGAUGGGUACUGAGACACGGACCCAGGCCCUAUGGGGCGCAGCAGGCGAGAAAACUUUGCAAUGUGCGAAAGCACGACAAGGUUAAUCCGAGUGGUUUCUGCUAAAGGAACCUUUUUGUCAGUCCUAGAAACACUGAUGAAUAAGGGGUGGGCAAGUUCUGGUGUCAGCCGCCGCGGUAAAACCAGCACCUCAAGUGGUCAGGAUGAUUAUUGGGCCUAAAGCAUCCGUAGCCCGGCUCUGUAAGUUUUCGGUUAAAUCUGUACGCUCAACGUACAGGCUGCCGGGAAUACUGCAAAGCUAGGGAGUGGGAGAGGUAGACGGUACUCGGUAGGAAGGGGUAAAAUCCUUUGAUCUAUUGAUGACCACCUGUGGCGAAGGCGGUCUACCAGAACACGUCCGACGGUGAGGGAUGAAAGCUGGGGGAGCAAACCGGAUUAGAUACCCGGGUAGUCCCAGCUGUAAACCAUGCAAACUCAGUGAUGCAUUGGCUUGUGGCCAAUGCAGUGCUGCAGGGAAGCCGUUAAGUUUGCCGCCUGGGAAGUACGUACGCAAGUAUGAAACUUAAAGGAAUUGGCGGGGGAGCACCACAAGGGGUGAAGCCUGCGG